AUUGAUUUUAUGCUUGCAUAAAUGAUUUUUGGAUUCGGAGCGAGUGGCGAACUGGUGAGUAACACGUGGGUAACCUGCCCCGAAGCGGGGGAUAACAUUUGGAAACAAGUGCUAAUACCGCAUAAUUAGUUGGAACCGCAUGGUUCCAACUUGAAAGAUGGCUCUGCUAUCACUUUGGGAUGGACCCGCGCCGUAUUAGUUAGUUGGUGAGAUAAAAGCCCACCAAGACGAUGAUACGUAGCCGACCUGAGAGGGUAAUCGGCCACAUUGGGACUGAGACACGGCUCAGACUCCUACGGGAGGCAGCAGUAGGGAAUCUUCCACAAUGGACGAAAGUCUGAUGGAGCAACGCCGCGUGAGUGAUGAAGGUUUUCGGAUCGUAAAACUCUGUUGUUAAAGAAGAACAAGUGUUAGAGUAACUGUUAACACUUUGACGGUAUUUAACCAGAAAGCCACGGCUAACUACGUGCCAGCAGCCGCGGUAAUACGUAGGUGGCAAGCGUUGUCCGGAUUUAUUGGGCGUAAAGCGAGCGCAGGCGGUUUUGUAAGUCUGCUGUGAAAGCCCUCAGCUCAACUGAGGAAGUGCAGUGGAAGCUACAAAACUUGAGUACAGGAGAGGAAAGUGGAACUCCAUGUGUAGCGGUGAAAUGCGUAGAUAUAUGGAAGAACACCAGUGGCGAAGGCGGCUUUCUGGUCUGUUACUGACGCUGAGGCUCGAAAGCAUGGGUAGCGAACAGGAUUAGAUACCCUGGUAGUCCAUGCCGUAAACGAUGAAUACUAGGUGUUGGAGGGUUUCCGCCCUUCAGUGCCGCAGCUAACGCAUUAAGUAUUCCGCCUGGGGAGUACGACCGCAAGGUUGAAACUCAAAGGAAUUGACGGGGGCCCGCACAAGUGGUGGAGCAUGUGGUUUAAUUCGAUGCUACGCGAAGAACCUUACCAGCUCUUGACGUCUUCUGCCAACCCAAGAGAUUGGGCGUUCCCUUCGGGGACAGAAUGACAGGUGGUGCAUGGUUGUCGUCAGCUCGUGUCGUGAGAUGUUGGGUUAAGUCCCGCAACGAGCGCAACCCUUAUUAUUAGUUGCCAGCAUUUAGUUGGGCACUCUAGUGAGACUGCCGGUGAUAAA
rnacentral:rRNA from 1 species